UACGAAGGGGGCUAGCGUUGUUCGGAAUCACUGGGCGUAAAGCGCGCGUAGGCGGACUGUCAAGUCAGAGGUGAAAUCCCAAGGCUCAACCUUGGAACUGCCUUUGAAACUGUCAGUCUGGAGUCUCGGAGGGGAUGGCGGAAUUUCUAGUGUAGGGGUGAAAUCCGUAGAUACUAGAAGGAACACCGGUGGCGAAGGCGGCCAUCUGGACGAGAACUGACGCUGAGGCGCGAAAGCGUGGGGAGCAAACAGG
rnacentral:rRNA from 1 species